UUAGUCCUACGGGGGGCAGCAGUGGGGAAUAUUGCACAAUGGGGGGAACCCUGAUGCAGCGACGCCGCGUGAGAGAAGAAGUAUUUCGGUAUGUAAAGCUCUAUCAGCAGGGAAGAAAAUGACGGUACCUGACUAAGAAGCCCCGGCUAACUACGUGCCAGCAGCCGCGGUAAUACGUAGGGGGCAAGCGUUAUACGGAAUUACUGGGUGUAAAGGGAGCGUAGACGGUGAUGCAAGUCUGGAGUGAAAGGCGGGGGCCCAACCACCGGACGGCUCUGGAAACUGUCUGACUUGAGUGCAGGAGG
rnacentral:rRNA from 1 species